UCAGGACGAACGCUGGCGGCGUGCCUAAUACAUGCAAGUCGAACGGUCUUUCUAUGGAAGCUUGCUUCCACUGAGAAGAUAGUGGCGAACGGGUGAGUAACACGUGGGUAACCUGCCCAUAAGAGGGGGAGUAACAUCCGGAAACGGGUGCUAAUACCGCAUAGUUUCUUGAUCGCAUGAUCGGGAAAGGAAAGACGGCCUUUGUGCUGUCGCUUAUGGAUGGACCCGCGGCGUAUUAGUUAGUUGGUGAGGUAACGGCUCACCAAGACGAUGAUACGUAGCCGACCUGAGAGGGUGAUCGGCCACAUUGGGACUGAGACACGGCCCAAACUCCUACGGGAGGCAGCAGUAGGGAAUCUUCCGCAAUGGACGAAAGUCUGACGGAGCAACGCCGCGUGAGUGAAGAAAGGUUUUCGGAUCGUAAAACUCUGUUGUCAGAGAAGAACAAGUUGGAGAGUAACUGCUCCAGCCUUGACGGUAUCUGACCAGAAAGCCACGGCUAACUACGUGCCAGCAGCCGC
rnacentral:rRNA from 1 species